rnacentral:rRNA from 1 species
GACGAACGCUGGCGGCGUGCUUAACACAUGCAAGUCGAACGGGGUCCAUGAGAGCUUGCUCUCGGAAGACCUAGUGGCGAACGGGUGAGUAACACGUGAGAAACCUGCCUCGGAGUGGGGAAUAACUCGAGGAAACUCGAGCUAAUACCGCAUACCUUCAUUUGACCGCAUGGUCAGUUGAAGAAAGAUUUAUCGCUCUGAGAGGGUCUCGCGGCCUAUCAGCUUGUUGGUGGGGUAACGGCCUACCAAGGCAACGACGGGUAGCUGGAUUGAGAGAUCGACCAGCCACACUGGAACUGAGACACGGUCCAGAUUCCUACGGGAGGCAGCAGUGGGGAAUCUUGCGCAAUGGGCGAAAGCCUGACGCAGCAACGCCGCGUGCGGGAUGAAGGCCUUCGUGGUUGUAAACCGACUUUCAGUAGGGACGGAAAAGUAGACGGUACCUGCAGAAGAAGACUCCGGCUAACUACGU